rnacentral:snRNA from 1 species
GUGCUCACUUAGGCAGCAAACAUAAUAAAACUGUGAACAAUAUAGAGAUUAGCAAGGUCCCUGUGCAAGGAUGUCAUGCAAACUCGUGAAGCAUUCCAUAUUAAA